GAAAGGCGAAACGUAAUGUGAAUCGCAACUAACAGUGAAUCAUCGAAUCUUUGAACGCAGGCCGCACUUUGUGGUAUGGCUUGUUCAUGCCACAAGGUAUCUACGUAUGAGUGUCAGCCAAUAAUCAAUUUGGUUCAUAAGGCGAAUUAUUUCUCCUUUUAUGAAUACACAUGUGUCUUGUGACAUAUCUCUUGAAACAAUACAAUGUGUCUGGCCUCAUAUGUGGAAGAUUACCCGCUGGAUUUAA
rnacentral:misc_RNA from 1 species